rnacentral:lncRNA from 1 species
AAAAAAACUGAAAUCAUAAUCAAAUUAGUAAAGUUUAUUAUUUUAAACUUUCUGUUGAACAAUGAAAAAAUGAUACCAUGAUCUUAGAGCAAAUAAACAGUACGUCACAUUAACAACCACAUUUCUAGUUUUUUUUAAAUUUCACUUUUCAAUUCUGGGAAUGACAGAAAAAAAAAAUUAAAUUGUAACAUGAUGAAAUUAUUUAUUUAGACUUUCAUGAGUAAGGCAACAACUCUAAAUAUUGUUACGGAAAAAUGAAAUACUCUGACUCACAUCAGACAGUCUUGAAAUGCAAGCAUUUUAUUAUCAAAGUUGUAAGAAAAGCAGUUAUACACGUGGUGAUAAGAACUAUAGUAUUCUGAGAUUUAUGUCCAUACUUUGAAAAACCAAGAUUGUAAUAAAGCACCAAAUUCACUGUCUGUUUGGAAAAGUGUGGAUGGUUUGACAUUUUUUUCAGUUACUUGUUAUCUGGUAUGUAAAUCUCAAGUAAACUCCAAAGCUCACAAUAAGUCAUCUAUAAAAAUAAAUGUACAUUUUUUAAAGACUACCAGCAUACAAUUAAUAUUCAUUAUAGCCCAUGCUUACCAUUCAAUACAUUAACUGGAUAAGGAUAUAAGCGGCAUCAUUCUAAUGGUUGUUACUGUAGUUUUAUGAAGCAAUGUAGCUGUAGAACUUUGAAUGCUUUUUGGAUACAAUCAUAGGUAGGCAACUGGUGUUAAUCCAGCAUUUGAUGAACUGAAAUUGGCACAAUUUCGGAGAUUAGGUUAACCACUAGGCACAACCAAAAAAAGGUUGCAGGGUUUAUAAUCGUGACAAGUGCCAAGGGCUUGGAAACUUUUUUUAUACCCAGUGAUCCAGCAGACAAACUGAAGUUCUGCGCCUUUACCGGUUACUGUACUUGUGUUAUUUAAGAGUUCGGAGUUCUUGCUCUGCCAAGAACUGCCGAAAAAACUACAGAGCAUACCCUUUUAUGAAGGAAGAGUAUGUGAAAGAGGAAAGGGUAGAUAUGCCACUGGUGGAGGGAGAUUACUUACCUAUUCAUGCACGUUCCUAACACCAUAGAGAAAAAGUUACACAUUGUAUUUUUACAUAUUUAAAGACACACUCAAAGCUCCAUAACCACUACAGAGCACCAGAAGUGGCCCCAUUAUACAGAGUUGAACUGUUUUAGAACAGCUUGUCUUCUUAACUGGGGUACGCCAGGUGUCGCUCAAUGCCAGAAGCUCCGAGACCCAGCUAAGAAAUCAAACCUUCUAAAAUGUUGGGUUAAAUUCUGCAGCUAUCACUAGGGAUGCCCGGCAGGGACCAAGGUAAGACGAUAAACCAAAGCAAGGUUUGCAAUAACCAAUGAUCAGACAACGUGGACAUGAACGUACAGUUUUGACUCAUCAGUACCGUCCUGGCUCUGGUCUAAGAGUGGCCACCAUAUAGCUAAAUGUAAAUUUGUGAGAACAAAACACAACAGUGCAGAGUUUUAUCACAUUUUGCUCUCCGCACAACUAUUUUAGAUCUUGCAACUCAAAAGAGAUCCCCAGAACAGUAAAUAUGACAUACUCCUACAAAGAAACCCCUUGUUCCCACCCUCCACCAUGCUGCCAUAUUUUGAUAACAAAAUACAGAGCAACUUGUUACAUGGGUGUUUUAAUUUCUGAGUUCAUCAAAAGUUGGAGAGCAGUAGGUUGUCUACCUAUGAUUUGCAUCAUAAAAGCAGAACAUUAGAGGUGUACCCAUUGCAGUUAAUUCAGCAUCACAAGCUGGAAUCUUUGGCAACAAAUUGCCAAGAUGCCGAGCUUUGAAGAGGUGGUAAUUCCUUAAUAUGACAAUAUUCAAGAAAUCCACUCCAAGCUCCUUGCAAAAACAAGGAACUACCAAUAUUGAAAACACAUCACAAAAAUCACGUCCAAUAGUAAAACACAGAAAGUUGUGAGUUAAACGAUCCAGUAUUAUAGUGCUGUUAAGUAUGAAAUAUUCUAUUCAAUGUUGCUCAAAUACAAACAGGUUUACCCUAUCGACACCAAACUCUUAAAGGUUACCUCCAUGCAUCGGUACAAGGCAUACAUCACAACAACAAACAAAACUAUUAAUUGGUUUCAUCAUUUGACAAAACAUUUAAUCUUUCAUUCUUUUAUUAUACAUCAUACUUUGGAUAGUGCUAAAUGAGCUGAAGCAUCAUAGUCUGACAAUCGUAUCAUUAUUAUUAUUUUUUUCUGAUACAUAAAAAGUACAGCAUGAAAGAAAAAACAUUUUCCAAGUAAAUUUGCCACUGUGGAUCCGACUCCAGCUAAUUCCAUAUCUGUUCACAUAUUAUCUGUGGGUAAAAAAUUGCAUUUUAUGUUCCUUAAUUUAUUGAUAAACAAGAAAGAAAUAGCAGCAUGCUAUUUAAUAGAAUGACAUUUUCAGAAAGGACGUAUAUUUUUAUAUAUUUUUUUCAUUUUCAUUGUGGAUUCAAUCCAAACCCACAGCAUAUUAUUCGCCUGAACUAGUGCUCUGUACAAUGAGUUUGUAACAGUGCAUUACAAAGGACCAUAGACAUGUGUCUUAGGAGUGAGACCAACAUAGAGCAUUAUAAAGGACCAUAGACAUGUGUCUAAGGAGUGAGGCCAACAUAGAGCAUUACAAAGGACCAGAUACAUGUGUCUUAGGAGUGAGGCCAACAUAGAGCAUUACAGUGGACCAUAGACAUGUGUCUUAGGAGAGAGACCAACAUAAAGCAUUACAAUGGACCAUAGACAUGUGUCUUAGCAGUGAGGCCAACAUAGAGCAUUACAAAGGACCAUAGACAUGUGUCUUAGGAGUAAGACCAACAUAGAGCAGUACAAUGGACCAUAGACGUGUCUUAGGAGUAAGACCAACAUAGAGCAUUACAAAGGACCAUAGACAUGUGUCUUAGGAGUGAGGCCAACAUAGAGCAUUACAAAGGACCAUAGACAUGUGUCUUAGGAGUGAGACCAACAUAGAGCAUUACAAUGGACCAUAGACAUGUGUCUUAGGAGUGAGACCAACAUAGAGCAUUACAAUGGACCAUAGACAUGUGUCUUAGGAGUGAGGCCAACAUAGAGCAUUACAAAGGACCAUAGACAUGUGUCUUAGGAGUAAGACCAACAUAGAGCAGUACAAAGGACCAUAGACAUGUGUCUUAGGAGUGAGACCAACAUAGAGCAUUACAAUGGACCAUAGACAUGUGUCUUAGGAGUGAGACCAACAUAGAGCAUUACAAAGGACCAUAGACAUGUGUCUUAGGAGUGAGACCAACAUAGAGCAUUACAAAGGACCAUAGACAUGUGUCUUAGGAGUAAGACCAACAUAGAGCAUUACAAAGGACCAUAGACGCGUGUCUUAGGAGUAAGACCAACAUAGAGCAUUACAAAGGACCAUAGACGCGUGUCUUAGGAGUAAGACCAACAUAGAGCAUUACAAAGGACCAUAGGCGUGUGUCUUAGGAGUGAGACCAACAUAGA